CCAAAAACUUCCAGUUAUUCAGUGAAAUCGUUCGCAUAAAUCCGUAAUAAAUGUGCAAAAUGAAGAUUUUAUCCUUUAGGAAUAUGGAUUUUUAAAUUGUGCUUCAAAAAUAAGUAAUUAAAAGAAUGCGGAGCUGCCUGUGUGUGUAUGAGUACAUAAAAGAACUGGAAAUCAUCAGUCUUGUUCUGAAUUUUAUGUGAGAUUUACGUAAUAUUUAUUUUACUGAUAAAUUUACCAUAUGCCUUCGUUGAAUUAUUCAAAUAAAAAUAUUCACUGAAAAGUUUAUACACAAUUAAAGCCAAUUGGCACCACUGCUUCAACGAAAAACAAAAUAAUUAUCUUGGCGUUCGGCUUCAUUCGUCUUUUUCGGGUUUGUUUAUUUUCACGCGCAGCAAGGAAAUUGAAGUGAUUAGAACUUCUUGCGUUGUGGGUUUCACGGUACCGUUUCCUGGGCGCUGCACCGAAUUCGUCAGAAUGCAUCAGACCCGUUGGCUGAUGGGGAUUAGCGGGAUUAGCCGGAAUCGAGAGCUGAUCAUCGACCAGAACCUUAGAAGAACCUUCCUAGGACAGUGCUAGCAGCAGUCAAACGCCGUCCCCUUCCCCCAUGUGUGGUGCGAGCAACACGCAACAGCAGAAUCCUUUCGGGAGACCGAACGCCGUUCUCCCAAAUGUGGUGCGAGUAGCACGGGACAAUGGAAUCAUCUGGGGAGAGUGCUUGCAGCAGCAAAAUUCCGUUCACCUGGUGUGUCCCCAAGUGUGGUGGGAACAAACACGCGACAACAGAAUCCUUCCGGGAGUGUACUACUAGAAGCCGAACGUCGUCUCCCAAUGCAGGAAUAAAAUUGAAAUAAUUGUGAAAACUGCAUACCAUGGGGAUGUCACGGUACCGUUUCCUGAGAGCUGCAACGAAUUCGCUAAAAUGCAUCAAUUAGUUAAUGAUCCGUGGGCAGAUGGGGAUAAAAUAGCCGAGAUCGAGAGCUGAUCAGCCGCAAGAAUGUAUACCGGAGAAUGCUGGCAGCAGCACCCCGAAUGUGGGGCGAGCAGCAUGCGACAGCAGGACCUUUCCAGGAUACUGAUAGCAGCAGCCAAAGGAUAUUCCCAAUAAUGUGUGGUUCGAAAAGAACGUAACAACUGAACCCUUCCAGGCGAGUAGACACUAGCAGAGUUUGUCCUGUAAGUAAUUCAUAGGCUCCAACUAAACUGUAUUAUUUAAACCUGUAUAAAGCAGUAAGACACACUCUCUCUCACACACACACACACACGCACACACACACACACACACACACACACACACACACACACACACACACACACACACACACACACACACACACACACACACACACACACACACACACACACACACAAAUAUGCACACAAACUUGUGAAAUAUUUAAAAAAAAUACUUAUCAUCAAAUCUCAAUCUAUAGCAUUGAUGCAUUAUAUGGUUAAGUUUCAUUUGAGAAUAUUUUUCAUCUAUCUAAUUUAACGAUUAUUUCAAAAGAACAGAAAAUUUGAUCUUAUUUCAAAAGGAAUAAUCUUUGCUUUGUA